GCCUGGCUGGCUCAGUCAGUAGAGCAUGCAACUCUUGAUCUUGCGGUUGUGAGUUCAAGCCCCAUGUUGGGCA
rnacentral:tRNA from 1 species